rnacentral:rRNA from 1 species
UACAGAGGUCCCAAGCGUUGUUCGGAUUCACUGGGCGUAAAGGGUGCGUAGGCGGUCAUGCAAGUUCGAUGUGAAAUCUCCAAGCUUAACUUGGAAAUGGCAUUGGAUACUGCUUGGCUAGAGGAUUGGAGGGGAGACUGGAAUGCUCGGUGUAGCAGUGAAAUGCGUAGAUAUCGAGCGGAACACCAGUGGCGAAGGCGAGUCUCUGGACAAUUCCUGACGCUGAGGCACGAAAGCCAGGGGAGCAAAC